rnacentral:rRNA from 1 species
UGAGGAAUAUUGGUCAAUGGGCGUUAGCCUGAACCAGCCAAGUAGCGUGAAGGAUGAAGGCUCUAUGGGUCGUAAACUUCUUUUAUAUAAGAAUAAAGUGCAGUAUGUAUACUGUUUUGUAUGUAUUAUAUGAAUAAGGAUCGGCUAACUCCGUGCCAGCAGCCGCGGUAAUACGGAGGAUCCGAGCGUUAUCCGGAUUUAUUGGGUUUAAAGGGAGCGUAGGUGGACUGGUAAGUCAGUUGUGAAAGUUUGCGGCUCAACCGUAAAAUUGCAGUUGAUACUGUCAGUCUUGAGUACAGUAGAGGUGGGCGGAAUUCGUGGUGUAGCGGUGAAAUGCAUAGAUAUCACGCAGAACUCCGAUUGCGAAGGCAGCGUACCGGCGCCCAACUGACGCUGAAGCACGAAGGCGUGGGGUAUCGAACAGGGAUUAGAUACC